CAUUAAAGUGUAUGCAGAUCAUGAUUGUAGCUUCAUCCACUGGAUGUUUGAGCAUUAAAAUAAGAAUAGAUUUGAAAAGGCUGAUUUGUCGUUUCU